UGAAGAGGAAUAUACUAUUUCUAAAAAAAAAAACAAACCUAAUUAAUUAUCCAUGUAACAUUGUGUUUCGUGUUCUGUCUGACUCAUUUCCUCUCCACACAUAUUAUAAGUCAAUCUUGUGUCUUUACAUGCCUUGUUGCUUCUCAUUCACUUCGACAUUCCAACAAAACAAACCAACCCCAUUACUUCUUCACCAAUUCACCACAACCCAACCCUCCUUGUCUUCUUCUCCUUUGUCUUCUUCUCCCUCUCAGAAUAUCUUCAUGUCUCUUCAACAUCACCUUUUCCUUUUCCUCUUCCACCUCCAUUUUGACCUUCUCUAUUGA